GUCUCAUAUCAUUCUGGUCAUACGUAUCUC
rnacentral:piRNA from 1 species